rnacentral:rRNA from 1 species
GGCGAACGCUGGCGGCGUGCUUAACACAUGCAAGUCGAACGGAAAGGCCUGCAGCUUGCUGCGGGUACUCGAGUGGCGAACGGGUGAGUAACACGUGGGUGAUCUGCCUUGCACUUCGGGAUAAGCUUGGGAAACUGGGUCUAAUACCGGAUAGGACAGCUGUUUAGUGUCAGUUGUGGAAAGUUUUUUCGGUGCAAGAUGAGCUCGCGGCCUAUCAGCUUGUUGGUGGGGUAAUGGCCUACCAAGGCGUCGACGGGUAGCCGGCCUGAGAGGGUGUACGGCCACAUUGGGACUGAGAUACGGCCCAGACUCCUACGGGAGGCAGCAGUGGGGAAUAUUGCACAAUGGGCGGAAGCCUGAUGCAGCGACGCCGCGUGGGGGAUGAAGGCCUUCGGGUUGUAAACUCCUUUCGACAGGGACGAAGCUUUUGUGACGGUACCUGUAUAAGAAGCACCGGCUAACUACGUG